CAAUUUAUCUUUUAUUUUAUAUUUUGCUAUAAAUACAUAAACGGUUAGUAUGAAAAGCACUAUGCUAUAAGCUGUUUAUUCAAACAAGCCCUUGAUAGUUAGCAAGUUUGAUAGUUAGCAAGUAUUCUCUUACAUUAGGGUCCGUUCGAUAUGCUAAAAAAUAAGGGAUUGGACAGGACAACUCUAGUUGUACUGUGUUUGAUUGUAAAACUGUUUAAGGAACUGGACAAACUGAGUGGCAAUGGACAGGACAAAACAAAAUUUUUUGUCCCUCAC
rnacentral:lncRNA from 1 species